rnacentral:rRNA from 1 species
AGGGUUCGAUCAUGGCUCAGGACGAACGCUGGCGGUGCGCCUUAUGCAUGCAAGUCGAGCGAAGCUUUUCAGUAGUUUACUACAGAAAAUGACUGAGCGGCGAACGGGUGAGUAACGCGUGAGCAAUCUACCUUAGUUACAGGGAUAGCCCGAGGAAACUCGGAUUAAUACCUGAUAUUCUUUAUUUCUCGCAUGAGAAUAAAAGGAAAGGUCAGCCGAACUAAGAUGAGCUCGCGUUCUAUCAGCUAGUUGGUGAGGUAAAAGCUUACCAAGGCUACGACGGAUAGCUGGUCUGAGAGGGCGAUCAGCCACACUGGGACUGAGACACGGCCCAGACUCCUACGGGAGGCUGCAGCAGGGAAUAUUGUGCAAUGAACGAAAGUUUGACACAGCGACACCGCGUGUGGGAUGACGGAUCUAGGUUUGUAAACCACUUUCAGGAGGGAAGAAAAUGACGGUACCUCCACAAGAAGCCCCGGCCAACUACGUGCCAGCCGCCGCGGUAAUAC